rnacentral:rRNA from 1 species
CCCAAAAAUAACCCCUUGCCCCAAGAUUUAAUCAGUGAAGCACAACUCCACUGAUAGAGGAUACAACCUGAAGCAGAGAGAAAGCUACACACUUUUAACCCGUGGGCCUCAAAAAGCCACCUAAAAAUAUAACGUUAAAGUAACAGCUAAAAAAAUGUCAGCAGCCAACCCGACCUCCCGCCAUCCCACCAGCCAUUCUAUGAACAUAGAAGGGAUGAUGCUAAAACUAGUAACAAGAAAAAUUCUCCACGAACAAAAUUCUACCAUUACAGACCAAAACCGGCAAUAUGAAAUAUAUUUCACACACCAUUUUUCUCACUGUAAGACCAACCCAGGAUUGUUCACGGAGACUAACAGCUAGAAAAGGAACUCGGCAAACAAUUUUUCCAACUGUUUACCAAAAACAUAGCCUUUAGCCCACACAGUAUUAAAGGUAACGCCUGCCCAGUGAGACACCACCUUAAACGGCCGCGCUUAAUACCGUGCAAAGGUAGCAAAAUAUUUGUCCUCUAAAUAGGGACCAGCAUGAAUGGCAACAUGAGAAAACCCCUGUCUCUUCAAGCUAGUCAGUGAAACUGACUGCCUGUUAAAAAGCAGGCAUACAAAAAUAAGACAAAAAGACCCUGUGAAACUUCAAAUGCCCUUCAACCGUAUGCAGGGUAUUUUUAGGUUGGGGCAACCAAUGAGAAACAAACCUCAUAAAAUCAUAAGGCCAACAAGCCAAACAGCACCUACGAUCCAGUACCACUGAUCAAAGAACAAAGCUACUCCAGGGAUAACAGCGCCACAUUCUUAAAGGUCCUUAUCAACAAGAAUACCUACGACCUCGAUGUUGGAUCAGGGCACCCAAAUGGCGCAGAAGCUAUUAAAGGUUCGUUGUUCAACGAUUAAWGCCCUACGUGAUCUGAGU